rnacentral:sRNA from 1 species
GUUCAAAGAAAAAAAUUAUAAAGGAAUACUGUGGCUUCCAAAGAAAGCUGCUAGCUGUUCGGAUCAUUAGGGAAGAGUGCCCUCUGCCGGAAUUUGUGGGUUAUUGCAAUAAGCGCUGUGUGCUACUCUGGAAUCCUUCCAGAUCUAGGAAUGUAAUUGGAAAGUUCCCCUGCGGCUACCGUACUUGCCCUCCAGUUUAAGGGCAGCUGAGAAGAGACCUGUUCCCUGCACACUCCCUGUUCCAGGAGAUUGAAAAUUCAUACAUGCCUCUACUGGACAUUUCUGGGCUGGGGUCCAUUGAGAAGCUGCCAUCAUCAAAAAGCCAAGCGUCUUAUACUGUAGGUUAGUUCCCUAUAUCGGUUGUUCAAUUGUAUAGGGGGUGGUGUCAUAAAAUUUUUGCCAUCAAUAAAAUAUUACCGAAAGUGCAACAACCAAAACUACCAUUCAAACUCAAGUGUGUCCCAUGGUAUGAGUGGCAGCUCUUCCCAUGUGCUACACAGGGCAGGGCUCUGCACUUCACAUGUGUGACAGGACACAAAACGCUAAUUCAUUUAACAACCAUGUAUAAGCAUUCCCUAUGUGCCCAGCGGUACAAUAGUAACUCAUAAUGACCCCAUGGAAUUGGUAACCUCCAUUCUGUACAAGUAAUUGAGACACAGAGAAGUUAAUGAACAUUAAAAAAAUCACUCAGUAAUAAAAAGGAAAAACCCAACCUUUCAAUCUGCCUCCAAAUUUCAUGUUUUUUAAAUCAUUAAAGUGAAAUAGUUUUGUUUAUUUAUUGUCUCAAGAGAUCCUUUUACUACUGGAUAGUUUCUCUUCUCAAUCAAAUUCCCUAAACUUAAGGUCCAGUCCAGUAUAUUCAAUGUGUCUUUUGAAAAUGUGAUUGAAACCUCCCUCUCUGUUUCACUCCAUGGCCAGGGCAUAGAGUCACCACAGAAAGCAGCAGAAAGGAUCUGCAUUAUUACUUCCUGGUAAUGCCCCUCUCCUGGGCAGGAGGAGAGCUAGGAGAACCCUGCCUUCCAUGUUACAAGCCUGCCUUACAUCAUUGUCUGUUAACAUGAUGUGGACAGUGGUAACUCCAACCAGUCCUGUUGGUGAUGGGCACUGUGCUAUUAGGAGAACUAGCCUCAUCUUCAGGGUGAUUGACAGCUAGUGAUGUCAUGUUACAUUCCUGAGAUGUCUUAUGUCUUGUCGUUGCUCACUGUGGUGGUCCUAGCAAGACUCACCCUCCCUAUGUCAUCUGUUCUCAUGGCAAUCCAUGAGCCUUUGGGUAUACACAGGUUCUCUCUCCCAUUUUUAAGCUGCUGUCAAGUAGGGCAAAUUGCCCUCGUCCUUCUGCCCUGGCACAUGUUUCUCUCACAGCAGAGGGGUCAACUAACUGAGCAAGCUCAUAAUCAACAGCCAGAAACGCCAGGGGCCUCUCCCUAUAGUCGCUCCCAAAUGCUAGAGGAGGUUCUUUUCUUGGGUCUCCUGACUUGCCUUUGAUAGAUGAGUAGUGGAAAGACCAAGACUACAUGGCCCAGACAGUGCCUUCCUUCUUCCCAGACCUCUGUGGGUGAGAAACCCUGUGCCCCAGACUGUCCAUGGUUUUCUAACUCUGCUCCCUGGAAUGCAAGUUCUUGAGCUGUCUCAACAGUAAAGGAUACUGUGAGUGAAUCCAUUUUGAAUGAAUGCCAUACUCUGUUUCUCUUGACUCCCUUUUCUUGAAGUUUUCCCCCUUUUAUUAGAUUCUGUAAGCAUAUUAAAGGCUCCGAGGAUUCCCUAAGAUGUCUCUGUCUGUGCUUUAAUUUGGCAUUUCUCAAACUAAUUUGACUAUGCACUUCAUUUUGCUUCACAUUUAUAUGCUGUCCUGGUCACAAGCCCUAGCAGCAGAAGCCUUUGUCCUGGACCCCACAUGUAAGGAACAUUCCUAGGAACUAGAGAAAGGUGGUCAUCUAUUGCUUUUCCAGCCUCUGCACCCUCAAACUCCAAGGUGACUGUGGGAAAACAUAAUGAAAGUGUGUGGGUGACUCUGCUGGAGUGUGGAUGCUCCGAGCUGGCUAGGAGUCUGGAGAAGAGCCAAGUGGGCGAAGCACUUAGGUACAGUAGUGGCACACAUACCUUGGCAGUAACCAAUGGCUCUCUAAUUGGACUGAAGACUCUCAUAACAAGAGGGAUACUAUGUGUGAUAACAGAAAGCUAGCUAAGAGACAAUAAAAGUCAUGAUACCGAAAAUAAUACGUAGUGAAAUUGAAGUAUUUUAUAACGUUCUAUGAUAAUGAUCAUUUAUAUAAGCUAACCCAUUAUAAUGAUAUGCAUGGCAUGUAAACUUGCUGACUUGUUUCUAAAUCUUAUUUGAAAAUAUUAUUCACAAUUAAAGUUGUUACAGCUCAGGCAAAGCAGUGCUUUU